AUUUCUGCCUGCUGCAGUUUCGGGUUGACAUUUGUCAGGCUAGAAUAGUGAUAGAAAUCAGGGAGAAGAAACGCAAAGGAGGUGCAGACAAAAAAAAGAAACAGACGGUGCCAAAUGGGUCAAAUUGACAGACAUGUUUUCGGCAGUAGCAGGACCUUCAUCAGCUCCCGUGGCUGAUGAUAGUGCAAGGGUACAACCUGCGCUAAGCACAACUCCCCUUACAACACUUUGCCCCUUGAUAAAACUGAGCCAAAAAAAAGUGGUGGACAAACUGUUGAUGAUAACACUACAACAAUAA